CAGGAACUAGAAGGUUUUAACUUCUUCUUAGGGCUUUGAAGGUCCUUGGUCUGAGUAUCCUAAGUUUCU
rnacentral:tRNA from 1 species